AUAAUAUAGGUUUACUUAGAAGUUGAAAGUUUUGAUGGUAUGAGUGGAGUCGGAAAAAAGAAACUAAGGAUAUGAGUCGACGUGUGUCUGCUCGGGCCUCCAAAAAGGGCAGAGGUUCCACCUCUUCGGCGCCACCACCGCCACCGUCACCACCAUCCUCGCCACCACCACCGAGUGACUUGCCACGGCCGGAGUGGGCUUCACGCCCUCUUCACAAGCUCACGCAGUUCAACAUUCCAUAUUUUCAGCGUGACAUGGACACCACUUGGGCUGUUGAGCAGCUCCAACUCCGGCACCAGUUGGGCGUUUGCACUGUGGCAGCGCCCACUUAUCCUCGUCUGGUACGACUUUUCUACCAGAACCUGUAUGAGUCACUCACUGAGGAUGGACUGCUAUCUACCAUUGAUGGUCAUAUUGUCCGCAUCACCUCAUCCAUGAUUGCCAUCGCGUUAGGGUUUUUCGCCAAGCCAGAAUAUCAGCCCUUCCCGGAAGUUGAGGAUCGACAACCCAUACAUAGCCUUAUCCAGCAAUACUUCCCGGGGGCCACGGUGACAACAGUUUCACAUGCUUGCGGCGGAGCAAGCUGCCUAGCCACUUGCUAUUCAUUGAUUUCGUGGUCCAUAAGAAUGUCCUUUCACUUGGGCAUAGAGCUAAGCACCGUUUGGAGUUUGUUCGGGUUUUACACCGUUAUCAGCAUGGCUAUCAGGUCUCGCUUGAGCAUAUCAUCUGGAUGCAUUUGCGAAAAUUUCUACGAGAGGCAGUUCGGCCUGAACCUAUGCAGAACUUGACUUGGCCACUGCUAUUUGCCAAUUUGUUGACACUUGUGUUUGAGCUGAACGGCCUCCCCAUUGCUGAGAAUGAGGAGAUUUAUAGAGCGUAUCCAACUUUCGGUCAGCGGGAAUGGCAACAUAGCAUAUCUCGCAUCCCGCAGCAGGUUGGUGCCCCAGUUGAUGAGGCCCAGGACCCCGUACAUGACCACCCACCUCAUCUUGUUCCCCCCUCACCUCUCCAAGGGGACCCACUCUACAUGACUCGCGAGGAGUACUUACAGCUUCAGCACUCUGUGGAUUAGGUCCACAAUACUCUUCGUGAUCACCACUAGAGUCUCAUGGAGUUGUGCACGGAUUUUCAGGCGCAUCGAGACUAUUCUCAGGCGACCUUCGACCAGCUACACACUCGCCAGCUCGACAUCCAGCAACGGGUUCAGGAUUAAGCCUUUGAGACGCGAUCUUUGAUGCAAGCCUUCUUUGCCCAGCAUUUCCCGCCACCACCGCCACUGGCUUCUCCGUAGCACCCACUGUACCAGCAUGGUUCCUGGGACGAAGACAGGGUGACGUAAGAAAACAACAACUGACCCAUGGCAUCACCCUCAGGAACAUCUGCACAUGUCAUUGUCACACCACAGACUUUAUCCGAUGAGACACAACCGCCGGAUGACACAAACAUUUGUGGAAGAGACACAGGCGCACGGCGUACGUAAGAUCAUUAUACGUUUUUGUUGCAUCUUCAGGGUUGACUGACUGUGGACUACAAUGUUUAUUCUUGUUUUUGGUAGUUUUGUAGGGAAAAGUACGUCAACUCGUGUACGUGGUCCUACAGUCGGAAAAGGAGUGCAAAAAAGGAUUGUGAGAAAAAAAAGGGGAGAAACUACAUGUAUAUGUCAAUCACAUGCUGAAUGCCCUCACUAGAGGGAAUGCCACGCCUGCAACGAAUGAGUUGGGCUUGUUGAUAAGGCGGGUUGUGCCCUCUGAAGGGAGUGAAGUCAUGGAAGAAAAUUGAUCAGAGUAUCAAAGAUGCUGUAGUACAAGCUGUGUUAGACACGUUUGAAAUUGGUGAGGAUUUUCAUACUGAUCAGCAAGCUCAAGAGAUCGUUGAUACGAAGGCGUAUCUCUUGUACAAGGAUUAGUGGUACACCCUGAAGCAACACUUCGAAAAACUUGUCAAAGAGGGUGUUGAUGACCCAUAUAGUCAUCCGCCUACAGGAGUAUGCUUGGAUGAUUGGAAACACAUGAUUGAUGUGGCUUAGAAGGAUGAUUCUCAUUUGAAACGCUCUAAAGCUGGCAAACCGAAGUUUGCUACCGUACAAUCACACUAGUGGAUCUCGCUCCUUUCCAAUAGCAAUGUCGCUCAUGGUAGAUGAAAAUGGGGAGUUGGAUUUUUCGGAAUUUUAUUUCAAAUCACACAAAUCGAAGAAAACAAACGAAUGGAUUGAUCCCAAAUGUGGUGAGCUACAUGAUGCAAUGGUGAAUCUACAAGCGACAGCCACGGAUGCGGGGAUCCCAUUGACAUAGGAGGAACUCUCACGGCAAGUGCUUGGACAGAGAAAGAAUUACUUGCGUGGAUUUGGGAUAGGCCCACAACCCUAUUCGCCAUUUGAUAGUGCGGCACGAUCUCGUGACAAACAAAUGGAGGCAAUGCGAUCUGAGAUGGAGGUUCUUCACGAAAAUUUGAUGAAGGAGAAAGAAGAGCGCCAGAGAGAUCGUGAAGAGAUGAUGAGGGAGAGAGAGGAGUUGAUGAAAGAAGUAGAAGAAGGAAAAAAAGCAAGGGAGGCGCAACAACAACAACUGAAUCAUUUGAACUCUGUGGUUUUACGACUCUCAACACUGUUGGAGGGUUCAGACGGUCAUCGUCGUAUUUGCAUGAGGGCAAGAAAAAAUCAUGCAAUUGAAGAAUUAAAAUUUGUGUAGGUAGAGAGGGCCUAUCAUAGUGCCCGUUAUGCAAUUUUGACCUUGAAUGCUUCUAUCACUGAUCUUUUAGAGCUAGACUAAUCUCAUUGGAGUUGUUAUUUGUAUUUUUUUUAUUUUUUUUUCAUUUUGUCAAUAGGUUGAAAUUUUGAUCUUUUAGAUGAGGCUUAUUGUCCAAGAAUUGUUGGAUGUUAAUUUCGGUUUUUGAGUCCUAUAAUUUGUUACACAAAAAAGAAGAAAUGAAAAAUCUUAGUGAAGACUCAGGUAAUGUUGUUGGACACAAGUAACAGUUUUUAGUCUCUUUUAAAUGAGAAAUUAUAUUAUCAAAGAUUAAGCAUAAUUACUCAAUAUGAUUAAGAAAUGUUGAAAGAAUAAGGAAGUUCUCAGUGCUAUCCUAGGGAAAGUAGUGGUAUGGUCAUGGCAAUUGUGUUUCUAGCAUUGAGCCAUUGCAUCUGUAUUGUAAUGAACUUAUAGAAAGUUGCAAACAAUCUAGUCAACUGUGCAAUGUCUACUCUCAUCAUUCCUCGUCAACAGUUAAUCUCAUUGUACCUAAAUUUUCUAUACAGUUAGAGAAGUUUGUAAACAGUUAAUACAAUUCAAUGUUUAGGGACUACAGAUGGUAUUCCGCCAAACAGUUAAUACAAUUCAAUGUUUAGGGAGUACAGUUAGAAAAGUUGCAAAA